rnacentral:misc_RNA from 1 species
GCAAACUUGGUCAUUUAGAGGAAGUAAAAGUCGUAACAAGGUCUCCGUUGGUGAACCAGCGGAGGGAUCAUUACAGAGUAUCUUUUAGAACUCCAAACCACUGUGAACAUACCACUGUUGCUUCGGCGGGCUCCCGGCCGCGGCGUGUAAAAGCCCGUGGCCCCCCGCCGGAGGACCCAAACUCUGAUUUCCAACGGAUCUUCUGAGUCUUUAUAUAAGCAAUCAAAACUUUCAGCAACGGAUCUCUUGGCUCUGGCAUCGAUGAAGAACGCAGC